rnacentral:lncRNA from 1 species
UUCUUGGCCCUUUUGUUUCUGCUGCUCUCAGGCGAAUCUGGAAUGUUAAUCAUGUGUCUGAUCGACCUCGUAGGUGUCUGGGUCUGAACCACUUGACUCACAGGCAAAUAUUGAUCGCUGAUCCUAUGUUCUUGGGUUGUACUCGCAGGCCAGUGACUUUGAGUGUUACUGAAAAGUUCUGUUGGCAAAGGAAGAUCCUCUCCGAAUGUGUUUGACGUAGAAGAUGGCCCACUUUGAAACACAUCUUGAUUCUUGUCCUGUCUCGCCAUCGCAGACCCUGCCAGAGAUUGCUCCGGUUGAUCAAGCAUCUGAAAGAAGAUGCUCCUCUCCACCGCAGACCAAUCUUGAUACUCUCCGAGAGAAGCUUGAACCGACGUUGACUGAGCUAGAGAUUGCUCUGUUGGCUGAAGCAUUUGGUUGUUGUCCUCAUCGAACAAGAAGUCUCCAAAUAUGUUUGACGUAGAAGAUGAUGACUCUCUUUGAAGCCAAUCUUCUUGACGGACGUUGUUGUUUAUCCACGACGGUUCUUGAACACUAACGUUUCCUUCCGUUGCCGCAGGCCAUUCUUGAGUGCCAAAGACCUCAUCAAUUGACCAUGAUGGUACUAGAGAUCUCUCGAGUUGAUGAAGCACUUGAUCCUGAUCGUCGUUGCUCUUGUCCAUCACGUUCGAAUCUUGAUUCUUUUCAGGCGAAUCUUCAAUGUUAGUGACAUCUUUAUCCGAAGUUGACGCCGGAGCUGGAGAUUGCUGCAUUUGCUCAAGCAUUAGACUGAUGUUGUAACGUGAAAGGGGGAAGAAUGCUUCAUCUUCAAAUAUGUUUGACGUAGAAGAAGAUGACUCUCUUGGAAGCCAAUCUUGAUAGUUAUCGUAUCUCCACGACGGUUCUUGAACACUAUCGUUUUCUUCCGUUGCCAUAAGCCAUUCUUCAAGGGAAGAGAGCUCAUCAACUGAACAUGAUGGUGGUGGUACUAGAGGUUUCUCGGUUUGAUGGAGAACCAGACUCGAAUCUUGAUUCUUUUCAGGCGAGUCUUCAAUGAUAAUGACAUCUUUAACCGACGUUGAAGCCGGAGCUGGAGGUUGCUCUUUUUGCUGAAGCGCUCGACGGAGGUCGUGACGUAGACGUGAACGGCAGAAGUAUAACUCGAGACGUGAUUUGUUGAAGAUCUUGCAUUGCGUGAGAGUGAGAGAGUCUCGAUCUGCCAAUAGAAUCUUGCCUUUGAAGAAAAUGGUUUGGUUGGAAACAGAGAUGCGUUUGGUCUUUUCGAUCUUUUGUUUCAUCUCUAGAACUGUGUUUGAGGGAUCUAGUUCAAUGGAGAAUAGCAUGACUUUCCUGUGGUAGAAGAACAACUUCAUAACUGUUUCAAUGGUGGAGACUGGUGAAGAAGAGAGUAAAGAGCGGGAGAGCGAAUGCG